rnacentral:rRNA from 1 species
UACGGAGGGUGCAAGCGUUAUCCGGAUUCACUGGGUUUAAAGGGUGCGUAGGCGGUCAGAUAAGUCAGUGGUGAAAGCCCGCGGCUCAACCGUGGAAUUGCCAUUGGAAACUGGCUUACUAGAGUGCGGUAGAGGGGUGUGGAAUUCCUGGUGUAGCGGUGGAAUGCGCAGAUAUCAGGAGGAACACCUAUGGCGAAGGCAGCUCUCUGGUACGUGACUGACGCUGAGACGCGAAAGCGUGGGGAGCGAACAGG